GGGGAUUUAGCUCAGCGGUAUAAGUGCCUGCCUUGCAAGCAGGUAGUCGCGAGUUUAAUCCCUG
rfam:Cavia porcellus supercont2_143 genomic scaffold, whole genome shotgun sequence.